UACAGAGGGUGCAAGCGUUAAUCGGAUUUACUGGGCGUAAAGCGCGCGUAGGCGGCUAAUUAAGUCAAAUGUGAAAUCCCCGAGCUUAACUUGGGAAUUGCAUUCGAUACUGGUUAGCUAGAGUGUGGGAGAGGAUGGUAGAAUUCCAGGUGUAGCGGUGAAAUGCGUAGAGAUCUGGAGGAAUACCGAUGGCGAAGGCAGCCAUCUGGCCUAACACUGACGCUGAGGUGCGAAAGCAUGGGGAGCAAACAGGAUUAGAUACCCUAGUAGUCC
rnacentral:rRNA from 1 species